AUUGAACGCUGGCGGCAGGCCUAACACAUGCAAGUCGGGCGAGCCGCGCACGGGUGUGUCAUGUAUGGAGCUCUGCCUUAUGGCGGGGGAUACCUACUGAAAACGGUAGCUAAUCCCGCACACCAUCAGCUGACCCCAUAUGUGACUAGCUUGUAGGUAAGGUAACGGCUUACCUAGGCGACGAUCCCUAGCUGGUCUGAGAGGAUGAUCAGCCACACUGGGACUGAGACACGGCCCAGACUCCUACGGGAGGCAGCAGUGGGGAAUAUUGCACAAUGGGCGCAAGCCUGAUGCAGCCAUGCCGCGUGUAUGAAGAAGGCCUUCGGGUUGUAAAGUACUUUCAGUCGGGAGGCGUUACCGACAGAAGAAGCACCGGCUAACUCCGUGCCAGCAGCCGCGGUAAUUC
rnacentral:rRNA from 1 species